rnacentral:lncRNA from 1 species
UGCGGGUUUACCAUUUUUCUUUUUUUGGCCAUGUCUUCACCAUUUUUCGGUUCUUGGCUCCUUCAAGAUUUUCUCUACAAAUUUUCUUGAUUAUUUUCCUGUUUUUAUACACAUUUGGUACUGAUGAAGUAUUCGUAAAUGCUGAUACUCCAGCAGUGAAACUUGGGAAUAUGUCCCAGCUGGUGGAAGAUGCUGCUUAUUUUCCCAUAUGCUAUAUUCACAUUCGAAGUCAUCAAGAAUGGAUUUGACGGCAAGAGCUAUCUUCUCAUUCAGGUAUUUAUCGUUUAAUUCAUUGUUCUUUUCCAAUGUGUGUUUAUUCUCUGUAUCUGUGUUUCUUCACUCUGUAUCUGUGUCUCUUCACCUCUGGAGAAUAUUGUUUGGUAUUUUUGAAGUGCAAUUUGAGUCUCUUUAUUCUUGAUUUAUCUAUGUCGAGCAAGGAAAUCUUGAAAUUGACUAUAUAUUUUCAUUUACAACCAUCUAAAUAAUAACACUUUAUAUUCUUUCCUUGAUCGACGUAAUGAGCGGGAGGAACAAUACUUUCAACAAGGUUGGCGAAAAUAUGGGAUGCACAUAAAUAUCAUUGUUUGAACUUGGAAAAUUAACCAAAAUAUACAUCCCAUAUCCAAAUAUCAUAAUCAACUAAAGCCUUGAGGAUAGUAAAUUUGGGAUCCACUAUGACUUGCAUAUUAUCGUAUCCAAGCCGUUGGACAAUUUUUCUAUUUCUAGUGCAUACACAUACAAUCUAGACCAUCCAACAUUUUUAGGAAAGCAAGUUUUUUUUAUUUUUAUUUUUUUUUAUUACCAAUAUAGAAUAGUCUCGCAACAUUGUUAUAGUUAGGUGAUUUUGGUUAUUUCUCUGUAAAUAGCUCAGCAAUGGCAUGAAAAAUCUCUUCAAACAUUCAAUUGUUGCGAAUUUUCCUGCCAACCAAGUCUACAAAGCACAUCAUUUUUCUUUGUAAAGUAGUUUUGAUGGCCUUCCAUGGCCCUAUCUAUACGUAAGAAUAAACUUCAAGAGCCCCCCGAGGCACAGUUCAACUGGUGGAUCAAUCAACAUUGGCUUGCUUCCAGCGGCAGGGUGGAGAGUUCAAUUCCUGAUAGGAAUCUGCGGUCAAAAAUUUGGUAUGGAGCAAUCACUGUGGAGGAGGGUUUCUUGUACGCAGAAGUGUACAGUCAAUGGGAGGAACCCGUGAUCCAGUUGAGGCAUAACCCGCGAUUUAUCCCCUCCAAGGUUCUAGGGGCAUGAGUCUUGGAGGUCCAGGAUUUAGUUUGGUGUAAGCUGGGAUACCUGGAUAUAAAAAAAAAAAAAAAAAAAAAAAGAAUAAACUUCAAGACAUUAUUGUCGACGAAACAUCAUUUUAUUAUAAUGUAGGCUCUCGGCAAAAUAAUCUUUGAAUAGACUUAUAUCUAUAAUUUUAUGGUUAUAGUUUAUCACUAUAUGAUAAAAAAUUGGGCCCCCAUUGGCCACAUAGGGGGGUGUGUUCAAUUGAGAUUUUUGAAAAUUUUGAUGGAUGACUUUCUAUGAAUUUUUCAUAGAUUUGUAUAGAAUUACUGAAAGUCUUUCGUACACUCUAUAGAUUUUCAUUUGAAAACUUUUAUAAACUUUUGUAGAAUUCAAAAGAUUUUUUAAAGACUUUUAUGUAAAGUAGAAUUCUCAUGGAUCUAGUAUAAUAAUAUGAGACUCUCACGUACCAGGUGAUAGUUUAAACAAUUUCCCUUCCCCUUUCCCUCCUCAUAUAAUAAAAAAUUAUUUUAAAGAAUAAAAAUUUAAGACCUUAAUUAAAUAAAUAAUAAUCAAAACAAAGUUUUAUAAUUUAAUUAAAAAAAUAUUUUUCACAAAAAAAAAAUGAAAGAAAGAAGAAAAAAGAAAUUACAAAAAUCUAAUUUAAUUUUUUUAAUAGAAAAAUAGAGAUAAAUAAUAAGGGAGGAAGAAAGAUAAAUGAAAAUAAAUAUAAUCAACAGAAAAAAAUAAAUUUUAAUCAUACAUCUAAUGUUCGUAUAAGAAAAAGGAAAGAGAUCUUGAAGUGAAUUAUUACUUCUUGUUUUGCAUCAGUCACUUCAAGAUUAUUCGUAAAUUGUACUUAAUUAUCACUUUCUCCAUCAAAAAAUGAAGAUGAAACAUAAGAUGAUAAAUAAGAGUGACCUUAAAGAUUGAAAUUCCAUUUUUUUUUUUUUUAUGAUAAAUUGGAUGGACGAUAAACAAUAUUGUUGAAUACAAUAAAUAUUUCAUAAAGAUAAGAUAUAUUUAGAUUAUUACAUCUUGAAUUUCAUCAACAUCUUCACCGUAAUGAUUUGUUUCCAAAAUCUUAUAGUGAAUUUUUUGAGAUUAGAUAUCUGAUCUAUUACAUAUUAACCAUUGGAUGAAUUUCAUCAAAAUCUCCAUCGCACGACUACUUUCCAAAAUCUUAUACUAAAUUUUUACCUAAUCUUAUCAUAUUAAGAUAUCUAGACUAUCAGAUAUUAACCAUUGGAUGGAUUCCGCAACAUCUUCAGUGUAUGAUUAGUUUUCAAAAUCUUAUCUUAACUGUCAUCCAAAUUUUAUUUUGCCUUUAUUUUUACCAUAAAAUAGCAUACUACGCCUUCAUUUUUUCUUACCUUCACUUUCUCCUAUUUCUUAUCUUCACUUCAACCACUUUAUCUUCAUUUUUCCUACAAAAUCUUACAUUCACUUUCUUUCAAAUCCCAUCUUCACUUUCUUCGUGAUCUCCUAAAAAUGAGCUCAAAUCAACGAAGUUAUUCAUACACAGAUGAAGAAGACUUAAGUCAUCUAUAUCUAAGUAUUUCCCAAAUUUCGGUUAUAGCUAUAAACCAAUCAAAAGACCAAUUUUGGUCUCAAGUUAAGAGUGACUAUAAAGACUUAAAAUCCAAAGUUUAUCGCUCAAGCUCGAUGUAAAAGAUUCUUUGAGUCUCGAAUGCAAGUUAUUCUUACUGUAAUUGGCAUUUGGAGGGAAUGCAUUCGACAAGUGAAAAAUCUUAAUCCAAAAGUUACUUCAAAAGCUUAUAAUUAAUUUAUAUCAUUCUGUAAUAUAUAGAGCUAAAAAGUUGUUAGCGCAUAGUAAGAAUUACAAGAAAUUGUUCAUAUUUGUUCACGUCUGCAUCGCCUUAAAGAUAUCGAGAAAUUCGGAAAUGAUGUUGAGUCUUUCGAAGGCAAAUGGUAACUUUGAAUCAUGACAAUCAAAGUCUCCCACACCAGCACUCCCUCUAUUGUUUUUAUUUUCUCUUAAUAUGAAUGAAGAAAAUCUUGAUGGUGCUUCAACUCAACGACGGGUAAAAAAUGAAAAACUAUAAAGGAAAAUGAUGAAGAAAUUACAAAAAUUAUUUAAACUAUUAAAGAAGAAAAUUGACAGCUCGCUGAAAUUUUCAAAAAGGAGAGUGAGAAUAGCAAUAAAUAUACCAAAUCUAAAUGCUACGAGCUCAAAGUGAGUUGAGUUGAAAAUUUUGGCCAUGAUAAUAUCAAGAAGAGAAUAAAAUUUUAUUAAAGGAUUUGAAUUCCCCAACGGAUCAUUCAAAUCUAGGUGAGCUUUUUCGAAAUGAAUAUAUAAUAAUUAUGCAAAAAGAGCUAAACAACAAGGCCAAGCAUCUAAAAGUACCUCGUCCUUUGGUCAAUAUUUUGAUUGUCUUGAAGGAUACGAAAGCAAUAGACCAAAAUACAAAAUUAUUGUCUUAGUUUAUGUUAUAUUAUACGUAAAUUUCAGUUUUCAAUAUUUAUGUUGAUCUAGUACUAAUUUCUUGCUAUUUGUAAUUGUCAAACUGUAACUUUUGAAUUUUAAUGAGUAGUUUUAUUUUAAUGUAUUCUGUAGUUAUUGUAUAUUAUUCGACUAUAAUUUAUUACAAAUGUUAAUAAAAAUAAUAAAUUAAAUUAAAUCAUUAAGCAAUAAAAGGAUAUAAUAGAAAUUAAAAUUUGUUAUUGUAUAAAAUAAAGGAAAUUGAAGAUACAAUUUUGAAAACUAAUAACAUGGUGGAGAUGUUGAUGAAAUCUCCCACAGUUAAGAUGUAAAAGUCCAUUUAUCUUAUCUCAUAAGAUACGAAUGAAAUUGAACAUAAGAUUUUGGAAACUAAUCGUACGUGGCGAUGUUGACAAAAUUCAUCUAAUGGUCAAUAUGUAACAAUCCGCACAUUUUAUCUUUCUAGAAUAUUGUAUUCAAUAAUGAUAAAAGUGUAUACUGAAAUUUUCUUAAACUCAUUCAUCCAAUUUUAUCAUCAAAUAUGAAUUUUAAUCUUGGAGCUCCCUCUUAUUUAUCAUCUUCUGCUUCUUCUUCAUUUUUCGGAAGUACAAUUUAUGGAUAAUCUUGAAGUGGAUGAUGCAAAAAAGAAGAAGCGAUAAUUCACAUAUCUUCCAACAACAACCUUUAUUCAGCUCACUAUCUCAACCAACAUAAUAACUAGGCCCAUUGAGGCUUAAUUCCUAGCCAUAUAAUGAUCAAUCGUGAUCGAGAACAUGUUGAUAGAAUUCCGUUCUAUGAUUAUUUUGUUGAAAACCUACAUUAUAAUCAAGUGAUGCUUUGGCGACGAUUUCGAAUGNAUCAUAAUGGAUUCCCAACUAUUAUCCUUGAGGUUGUAGCUAAUUAUGGCAUGGCUAUAUUAAUUUGUCAGGUUCAAACAAUAUUAUUAAUGUGUUGCAGGCAUCCCAUCUUUUAAUCAACAUCGCCGAAGGUAUUGCAACUUCCACUCAUUAUGUCAUUUAAGGGAAAAAAAAUGUAAUAUGUGUUAUUAUUUAGUUGGUUGUAUACACUCAAAAUUGUCUACUCAUACAAACAAUUCAUGAUUCACAUGGCCCCAAAAAGUUAUUUGAAAUGAAGUAAGAAGGAUAUAGAUGAGACGUAGAACGUGCAUUUGGCAUUUUGAAUUCACUAUUCACACCUGUGGCAUGACCAACAAGUAUUUUGAAAAACAUGUAAUAGGAUGAUAUGAUGAUUGCGUGCAUUAUAACGUGAUGUUGAUGUACCAAUUGAAAAAUGGUUGGUAACUAAAAAAAUUGAGAUGAUUGUAGAUGAAAGUAAUCGAUUUCAAGAAUUCUUUGCUCAACUAGACAAAUCAAGUAUAGAGCGGUUUACAUGAUACUUAGAAAUGCAUUAAUUGAUCAUUUGUGGGAUGAAUAUACUAAUUUCGAUAAUUAAAUGAUAAAAUUAUUUGGCCUUUAUGCUUGUUUUCUGAAAGUUUUUAUAUUAUAUGUAAUUUUUCACAUAUAGCAAUGCCAUUAAAUAAUAAUAAUAAUAAUAAUAAUAAUAAUAAUAAUAAUAAUAAUAAUUGUGAUAUAAGUGUAUUGAUUUUUAAAAUUUAUUAUAAAUGCAAUAUUUUAGUUAAUUAAAUGUUAUUUUUAAGUUAGUAAUUUUAGUAGUAAUAUGAUAUGUGAUUAAAUAAUUUCUGAGAAUUAAAAAUAAGAAAAGAAAGGGAAUAAUGUUUUUGGUGUGAUAUUUAAUGUAAUGAGUUAGAGAUGACUAAAUAAGAUGGUGUCACACUUGUACUAUUUGGGGUGAGAAAGUUUCACUAUUUUGGUUGUUAAUGCGGAAUGGGAGAUCAUCAAGGCUUUUUCGAAAUCAACAUACUCCAAUCAAUUAAAACCUUAAAUAAGCAAGACCAAAACCAAACCAAAAGGGGACCCAACUCCGGUUGCUAUAGAAUGCCCACUUAGAAUAUGCAAUGGGAAUGUUAUUAUAGCCACAAAGGCCAAUGAAAUUGGAGAAGAAAAGGUACAGUAAAGGAGCAAGAACCAUUUUUCAUCGAAGGAUGAAGACAAUGCAAUAACACACACAAGACACGACUAAGGAAAUAGCGUAUAUAUAAGUAUGAUUAGGGGUAUAAAAAUGGGUCAAGCCCAAUAAGUGGUCAAGUGAAUUACUAAGUGGGUCAUUUACCGUAAGCCAUCCAAGGAGUUGAGAAAUGGGCUAUGAGCAACAUUGAUAAAAUCAGGUCUCUUCAAAUGGCCAAAUGGUUUUAUGUUGAGUUGUAUGAUUAUGAGGAGUUAACUUUUAGUUUAGUCAACAAACCUCCACCUUGGUGUGAAAGGACCUGUAAGAAGACAUUAUAACUCAUUAGUGACAAUUCCAAAAGGAAAACUGAUAAAACUGAAAAAUUAUUUACCUUGACUAAUGUUUAGAAGAUCCUUACAACUUCAAAACUUUACUAAUGACAACACUUUAGUGCCAAUGUCCAAGGGGUUAUAUUGUGUAUGAAUUUUUUCAAGUCUCACCAUUUCUUAUGAUGCGAUAUCUCUAAUGAAAUGUAGUCUAACAUCAAUGUGUUUGGUGCGUUCGUGAAAAUUAGGAUUUUUGCAUAUAUGUAUAGAAGAAUGACUAUCUGAAUAUACUACUACAUAGUCAUUUAAAACACAAAGUUAAUGAAAAAAACUUCGAAGCCACAAAGCCCCUUUAAUUGCUUUAGUGAUAGCAAUAUAUUCUGAUUCUGUCGUGGAUAGUGCAACUGUUUAUUGUAAUUGCGAUUUCCAACUAAUGCAAGAGUUAGAUAAAGUAAACACAUAUUUAGAAGUAAAUUUUCUAUUAUCCCUAUCUUCCACAUAAUCUACAUCUACAAAACCAACAAUUUCCUUUAAAUGCCUUAAUAUCCAUUUUAAGGCUUCUCAAUGACCGGGACCCAGAUUAGACGUACCUACUAAGAGUAAUAACAUCAAAAGCUAAAUUCAAUCUAGUGAAAACCACCAAAUACAUAAUAGAUCCAAUCACGUUCGAGUAUGGAAUCUUACUUAUGUAUUAUAUUUCUUUUUAUUACAAGGAACCUGAUCUUUAGAUAAUAUAAAAUGAUUAGCUAAAGGUAAUAUAAUAGGUUUGCAAUUAUGCAUGCCAAAUCUUUUCAGCACCUUUGAAACAUAAGAGGACUAAUGCAAAAACAAAGCAAAAUUUGACCUAUCUCUCUCAAUUUUCAUAUCUAGGAUUCUCUUAACUUUAUCUAGAUCUUUCAUGUCAAGUUCGACAUUCAGCUUUGUUUUUGUCCGACUUAUACAAUUGGAUGAUGAACCAACUAAGAGCAUAUCAUCCACGUAUAGCAAUAAGAACAUAUAAUCAUUAUUAGCAACAUCAUAUUGGAAAUACAGAAAAUGAUCGAACUUACUUCUUUGAAACUCUAUAGUGAGUACAAAAGAAUAAAUCUUUUUAUACUAAUGUCUAGAUGAUUACCUUAGGCCAUAUAAAGAUCGUUUCAAGAAACAUAUAUGAUCAGCUUUUAGUUUAUCUUUACAACCUUUCAGUUAAUUAAUAAAUAUUUGCUCAUCAAGUUCACCAUGUAAAAAUGUAAUUUUUGCAUCUAGUGUUCAAGUUCCCAGUCAUAAUAUGCAACCAAUGCAAUGAUCUUAAUAGUGGUGUACUUAACAGUCGGUGAGAAAAUCUCGUUAUAAUUAACACCUUCUUUCCUUGUGUACCCCUUGUCUACUAAUCUAGUCUUAAAUUUUAAGGGUUCAGAUGCACUAGUACCCUUCUUAACAUUGAAAACCCACUUACAACCAACUGUAGAUUUAUUCUUAGGUCUAGGUACUAAUUUUCAAAUUUGAUUCUUUUCUAAGAAACUCAUCUCCUCUUUCAUUACCUUAAACCCUCUUCAUAUUAUUCACUCUUCGUCACUUCCUCAAAGGUUUUUUUGCUUUUUAUCAGGUAGCUCCUCAUAGCUAACACGAACAAAAGCUAACUCAUACUCGUAUCCAAAUCUUCUAGUUGCUCUCGACUGUCUUCUCUCUUUACCCUUAGCUAAGUUAUAAUCCGCUAAGGGAUUCUCUUUCUUAGAAUGCAAUUCUAUCACUACUUCAUAUCUAUUUUCCACCUUAGGUUGCUGAACCUGAGUCUCCACCUCACUAGGAGUAACAGGGACAAAUAUGCUAAAAUUUUCUAACUCCAUCUUCAACUUAUCUCUUUCUUUACCUUGUUCUUUUUCACUUACAAGUUCAGAUUCAAUUUUAAGGCAUGACAUUUCACCCUUAUCGAAUGUAACAUCUCUACUCACAAUCAUUUUAACCUCUAUUUAAUUUCUAUCCCAUAACCUAUAACCUUUGACCCCCUCAUUUUCUACCUUUAGGUUCAAGCUUUUGCUCAUUCUAAUGAGAAAAUGUAGAGCGGCCAAAAGUUCUAAGUAUAUUAGUUUACAAAAUCAUUUUUAUAAGGAGUAUGACAAUUUAAUACAGCAGAUGGAGUCAAAUUAAUCAAAUAAAAAGCAUUCAUAACAGUUUCACCUCAAAAAGGCUUUGGGACACCGAAACUUAACAUCAUACAAUACAAUUUAUUAAGUAUAGUUCUAUUAAUCCUUUAACUACCCUAUUUUGUUGGGGAGUGUAAGGAAUAGUCUUAUGCGUUAUUAUUUCAUUUUCUUUGCACAUUUUAUCAAAUUCAGUGUUACAAAACUCUACACUAUUAUCAGUUCUCAAAAACUUUAUCAUCUUACCAGUUUCUUUCUCAACUUCUUUUUUCCAUUUAUUAAAACUAUGGAAAGUAUCAAACUUUUCAUUUAAAAGAAAAACCCACACUUUUUCUCUUGUAACCAUCAAUGAUAGACAAGAAAUACCUAUUUUCACUCGAGGUAGGAUUACUAGCAAGUCCCCACAAGUUUGAAUGCAUAUAUUCAAGCAUAACUUUAGUUUUAUGUACACUUAUAGAGAAAGAAGUUUUAUGAUGCUUACCAAGCACACGAUGACAUCAGAAAAAUAAAUUAGACACACAAUAGUAAAUCUUGCAUUCUUGUUUCAUUUUUAUAUUGCCAUACUAUAUCCCGUAUUUAAUUUUUUACCAGUGGUAUCAGAGCGAGGUUCGAUAAACUCAAUUCGAGGUUUUUUGUGAGGGCAACUAUGAAGUAUGAUAUUCUAAUGUUGGAUCGCAACACUAGAUUUUUGCUUUGGGAAGUAAAGAUGCGAGCAUAAUAAGGAGCUAUUAGUUGUUGAAAAUCAGAAGGAAAAACAAUAAUAAACUUUAGUUGAAGCUAGUAUUGCAAAAGAUACCUACAAUGAUGGAGAACUUCUAGUGAUUUCUGACAGCAAUUUCAAACCUUACAAAAAUUGAAUUCUUGAUACAACUUGCACUUGUCAUAUAUGUUAAUCGGGAUUUGUUUUCAAUAUAUGAAAUAGUUUCCAAAGGUGGUAUGGUGAUAGAAAUAAUUCACCUUGUAGGAUAGCUGGUAUUGAAAGGGUCAAAAUUAAGAUAUUAGGUGGGAUUGUCAGGACACUUAAAUGAUAUGAGACAUGUUCCAGAUUUGAAGAGAAAUAUUAUCUCAUUGAGUGCUCGUGAUUUAAAAAGAUAUACAAACACUUGCGCAUGUGAAGUCCUGAAGUUAGUAAAGGUACCUGUAUUGUGUUGAAGGGACACAAAAUGACCCAGUUAUAUGUCUAUCUUGGUUACACAGAAUCUUUGGAUGUUAAUCAGUAGAAAUUCGAGACUUAUGUGAAUUUUGAGUUUGGUUAGUAUCGUUGGAGUUUGAUUUAAGGUCCAUAUUAAAAAAUACAUCUCAGUCACAUUCAGAAGUUAUGGGCAAUGUCGCUUUGCCGCCACCACCUGUGGUGCCACAGUGUAUAAUUUCUAGAGACAUGCCCAAGAGAGAUAUUAGGUCUCUACAGAGGUACAGUUAAGCUGAUUUAGUUGUUUAUGCUUAAAUUUAAUUAAAGGUGUUGAGUCUAGCAAAUAAUCUUAUACAGAAGCAGUUAGUUUUGUUGAUUCUAUUACAGGGUAUUUUUUGCCUUGUUUGGUAAUUAUUAUUAAGUUUUUAUGUAUCUUGUUGCUCAUGGGGAUAAUUCGAGCAACUUUGAUGCCCAAGAUAAUUUUAUUGUGCAGUGCUCACAUUCAAUUGAUUUUCAGUUAUUGAGUUUGUUCUAGCUAGGUUUAGUGGAAGAGGUGAAAAAUUUUGUUAUUGAAAAUUUUUUUUGGUGGAAAUUUUGUUGUUGAAGAGUUAAAUUUUAUUUCUUGCAAUGGAACUUGUCUCUAGGUGGAGAAUUUUUGAAAUUUUAUUCAUUGCAGUAGAAUUUAUAUCAAAGUAGAAUUUAUUAGAAUUGGGAUGUGACCCGAAUUUUAUUCGGAAGACUAUUUGGGAAUUUUAUUUGAAAUUUAGUUAGAAAUUCUAGUUGAAAUCUAUUUGAGAAUUUAAGUUGGAAUUCAAUUUGGGAAUUUGGAAUUUGUAGUGGACUAAAAGAAGGCUUAGACCUAUUUGGUCCCCAUUAAAAUUAUAAUUCCCUUUUCUUCCUCUUCUUAUCAAUUGCACAUUCUUCAAUAAAAUAAUAUUAUACAUAAUCACAUAACUUUGAAAAAAAAAAUAUUCCGACCAUUAAAAUUUCAAAUAAUGAAGGCCAAACAAGGGCUUAAAGGAGUCUAAGUUGUAAUAGGAGAGGAAGAAAUCGUGUAAGGAAAAGGAAACGACAAACUGGUGUUUGCUACGUACCUUGGUCUUGUUCAAGGGCUAGGAACAUAAGCUUUAGUGUUCAAUGUCCACAAGUCAAAUGCUUGAGCGGGCCACCGUUUGAUAGCCAUGAGACCUCUACUCGAGCGGCAAUCAUAACUAGAUUUAGAAUCGUUCGCAAUUGUAGAUAGAUUUUUGAAUCCUAUUUUAUCUCAAGCACUCUAUUAUUAUAUAGACUUAUUAUAGUCGAACUCUACAACAUCUUAGACCCUUCUUUGCAUUACAUUUAUAAACCUCCAAAAAAAUCGAUCCUUACAUUUUAAUUUGUAGUCCUCCAUUAUUGCUAUUAAUAAAUUCUUCUAUUGUGUCUAUAGUAUAUUUUUACCAUGUAAAUUUGUGUUCUUAUUUGAUUUUCCUAUUGCCAUACUAUAUCUCGUCUUUAAUUCCUAUAAAACGUGCUUACAUGCUUAUAACCGAGUUUCAAAUAGUAGUACUUACUUGAAAUCGCAAAAUCGAAGUUGAAUUACUUUGCUUUCAAAUUUCCAAAAUCUGCAUUUUCUUGUACUCCAAUGGUCAUAAUCCAGAUCAAAAUGGAAGAGGAUUAUUAUCCACAAUCUAAGUGCCAUUUUUUAUGAGAUUUCAUGCCAAAAAUGUGGUUCUUGGGGCUUUCUGAUUUUGGUGUGAAUUUACAUCCGAAUUUCACACUAUUUUUUAUGCCAUCAUUUUUAUCUCUCUUUUCCAAAACUACAUCGAAUUAAAAAAAAAAAAGGUUACGAGAAGUUAUAGGUUUGAAUUUUAAAAUCAAACCACUCCCUCCAACCAUUUUACUAACUUGUGGGUCGGGUCAUCCCACAUGGGCGACCUACGACCCGUAUUUUCUAACAUCUCCCAUUCGCACAUGAUGGGUUAAUCCGAACCACAAGUGACAACGAAUGCUACACCUUAGAUCCUUCUCAAGAUUUAUCUUACAAAGAUUCAAACGGAAAAUAAAUGUGCAACCACAAGUAUUAUUAGAGUUCACGGUACUAUAAACCUGUUAGGGAAUAUAGUAGUUUUUUUAGAGAAAUAUCACAUCUCGCUAUACCCCAAACUCAUUUUCCAGCAUUAAUUCAAGUAUUUUCUAUCUCUCGAGUAUUUAUGAAACAUACUUGAAUCCCAUAUCGCAUCAUUAUAUUUACAAUUGUGCUAUAUGCUCUAAAUGGUUAAACACAGUUGUCCGGUUGGUGAAUGCAAAUAUAAAUAUUGGUCAAAAUAGUUUUCUUUUCAUACUUGAAUCCUUCGAUUAUAAAUCAGCUGCUUUCCUAGACAUGCCCCAUCAAACCGAAUCGAUCAUAGUCAUUGACAACAUGCUAAAGUAGCAUCAAUGAAAUAAAACCUCAAGAAACAGUCAAAAGUCAUAAGGGUAUAUAUGAGGUUACAUAAACCUCAAAGUCUCACACAAUGAAGAAGUAGAGAUCCAUUCACUCAUUUACCCAAGAUUGGUCAUAAAAGCUCACGUGGUAUGAAACACGUGCUACGAUAUUUUCUCUCUUUCUUAGGGUGUACGUCAUAUUCUUUUUAAACCAUUACAGAUCCUAGUCCAGGCAUUCCUCGAUACCUAGCUUGACUUCUCCUUAUAUUCAUUUCUCUAGGCAUUCUCAAAUCGAGAACUCGAUCUGGCUGCUAAACGGGUUUAUUGGAUAGCAAAAUCCAUUUUGAUUACUUGUUGGAAUCUCAUCUUGAUACCUUAUCAAGGCGACUAGAUGUACACAAUAUGAUCACUGUCAAGACGACAUGAUCAUGUAGACAGCAUGAUCACUUUGUCUCAUCUUAGCACAUCUCAAAAACGUCUUAGGCGAUUGCUUGUGUGAGUGAGCCAAUCUCAACCUGUUCGACAUACUUUAUAUGUUCAUACAAAUCAUUUAUCUUGUAAUCCCAAUAUUAGAUUAUACAUGAACUAAAAUUGUUCAUCUAUGGGCACACAAAACUCAAUCAAGAGUUUUUUGAUACACUAAGUAUCAUAUACUACGAAAUUCUAGAGAUUCUAUAUUACCAACAAAUAUAUCUCUAGACUUCUUCAGAGUAUGAUGAUUACAUAUCAUCAUUUACGUGGAUAUAUCGCAAAGACAUUUUUUUUGUUAAUGUCUCUCACAGAAAUACCAUCAAGUGUUUGGUUCCAUCUUAAUACUUGAGAUCUUAACAUAAAAAAUAAUUGAGUAACUAUCAUGGAUCUCAUAGUCUCAACCAGUAUCAUUAAAUGCUUAAUGUUUCUAUACCAAACAAUUUCUUUAGCUCCAAGAUAUACAUUAUAAUGUAUGUUUUUUGCUACUCUAUGUAGCAAGAGUGCAAAAGUCUAAUAACUAAUUGCGAUCGACUAACUCUCAUUUUUAGUCGAUAAUUGUAUAUCUAUUUCAAUCACAAGUUAUUCAUUUGACAGUGAAAGAGAAUAACUAACAGCAGCCCCUUCAGGAAUCAUAAUACAUUUUCUAAAGAUAAUAUUGAUUCCCACUGACUAGAUCCAUUGCAUGACUAAUGUUAGGGCAAGUAUACGUCAUAGUAUACUUUUAUCUCCUAACUCUUAAUCGUAUUAGAUAUAGUUCUCUGAAUAUUUUUUGUGCACUUAUGGAGUUUUUGGACAUUUAUGAUCACAUUUCGAUAUAGGGGUAUCAAUAGGGUAACAAUUUCAUAUGAGCAUUUAUAGUAUAAAACUCUUGUGAUAGAACAAAAAGAUACGAAUAGUCUUCUUAGCACAAAUCAUACAAAUUGCUAAACCCAUGUCUCUUCUCUCAAAAAUUGAGGACAACAAUUUCAAAAUGGUCUCUAUACACUCCUUAUCAUGUUUAGCCAAUCUAAUGUCAUCAAUAUCAAAAUUAGAAUUACAACCUACUAUCAAACCUUUACACAAAUAUAGUAAUUUUCGCCCAUAUGACGAAACUCUUAUACGAGAUUUAACCCUAAUAAAAACUCAAGUACGACUGUCAAGAUGACUGUAUUAUGCUGUGCAUGUAACUAUAAAGUUACAACAAUAAAAAAGGCCUUUAACAUGAAAUCUAAAAGUCGAUUCAUGUUGAUCUCUUUAAUCAUUUCUCCAUUGAGAAUAAAAAUACAGUCUUUUGGGUCUAUUUGAUGUAACUCUAAAUUUUAUACAUACUAUCAAGGCUAGCAUAGACGUACAGAAGCGGAUCCCAUCGUUAUGAAAAAAAUUUAUCCAACUCAAUAUACUCACAUUGAAUAUAACCUUUUUAAAAAACGAGCUUUAUCUAUUAGAAACUCAUUAGUCUUCUACUCAACUUUCAAGAACCUGAAUGUUCUCAAUAAAUACACAAUGUCCGAAUAGAACUUUUACCAUAUCUCAAAUUAGGUUGAAAUUCUAUACUCCAUAUAUAUACUUCCAUUACUUUUCUCAAAAUUCCUCUUCUGAUUUUCUGAAUCAAGAAUCAUUGGCAUUAAAUAACUCUUAGAUUCAACUUGGAACCAAGAAUCAUUAAAAUUAGAUAGUUCUUGGAUGGUUCCCACUCAAAUAGAUAGCUCUCACUCAGAACAAAAAAUUAUUGAUAUUAAAUGACUCUUAGCUUCCACUCGAAACCAAGUAUCAUUAAAAUUAGAUAGCUCUUAGAUGGCUCCCACUCGGAUAGAUAGGUCCAACUCGGAAACAAAUUACUCCCACUUAAAUCAAAAGUUUGAAUAAUCUUUUAUAUAUUCAAAAUUGAUUCAUCAGUACAUAUAAUAUCAAUUUCAAUGAUGUUCUCUAAUCUUUUCUCUCUUACUGAAAAAUAUGUCAAAUGUCAUAUUUUAUGACUCGAUAUCCAUCCAAAAUUUCACUGAAAUACCUUUUUUUUGGACUACCUUAAUAGACUCAUGUUCCUAUACUCAUUACCAAGAACAUAUAUAGUCCAUUAAGAGUCUAUGAUAACCCAUGUUUGAUUAUUUAAGUGUCCAAAACUUAUAUAUUCUGAAAGUUCCAACAUUGAGGAACUCCUUUAAUUGAUAUGUUGAGUUAGCCAACGCUCUUGCCAAAAGCAAAUACGUACUACAUAACUUGAACCUCAUGAGUCAUCAUAUUUAGCAAUAUUUUAUUCUUUCAAUCCAAUACACCAUAUAAUUAUUGGAUAUUAAAAAAUAGUCAAUCCAAUAAGAGUUGCUCUCAUUACAUAGAUCAUUGAUAUCUUGUGAUAGAGAUUUAGGCUAUCAAACAUUUCUUAAAAUCUUCACUUUCAUAAUCUGAUUUUCUACUCGACCUCAUAAAAGUCUAAAUCAAUAUAAUAUCUUCAACAUAAGAAAAUCGAUCUCACAACUCAAGUGCAUGAAUCCAUAUAUAAAUGUAAUGAAAAGUAAAGUUUCAUCUCUAUCUCUCUUAAUCACGAUCCACAAAAAAAUUUGGAUGGAUUUAUUCUAUGGAAGUUCAGCUGUUAUAGCUUUGAAUGUUUUUCUCAACUCAAAACCUCAAACCAUUGCACAAAUAUCCAGAACCAUAAUAAACAUCACCAUUGUGAGUACGAACAGAACUAACAUGUACAAGUUCAAGUAAGAGACCACUUUUUGAAGAACAAUAAUUGAGUUCAUAUUUAGUGGAGUCUUUGAUACUAUCUCAAUAUCCACUUUGCAACACUAAGUUGCAAUACCAGUCAUAUAAACAUCUACUCCAUCUUCACUAUUUGUACAUAUCUAUUUCAUAUCAAGUCAAAGACUUAACAAUAGAUUAAGAUACUUCUUGAUCUCAUAUGAAGUGAGUUUCUAACCCUUGAAUCCAUUAUCUACACAAUAUAAGAUCGAAUAUGUAUAGUGUUGGGGCGUAAACAACACUAAGAGGAAUAUGGUCAAGUGUAAUAUUCUUUAGCCUAACCAUUUUCGAGCUAAGAGAUUCAAAUUGAAGCACUUGAACCUUUAUAACAUUGAUCCUCUACCAAAACCACUUUCAUUCACUUAUUAUUUGAAGUUCUUCUUAGCCCCCUUUUCAAUCUCAGCAUCUGUCCCGCAUUUGCUCUAGCUCAUUUAAUGCUUAAAAUUCAAAAUCUUAUGCAAACUAAAAUAUUGCUACACAAGCAUGUCCUCGAGACUUUGCAAUAUUAAGGCGGACGUCAUUUAACCCACAUAGCGGAUAGUGCCAAUAGAGAAAAUUGACACUUCAAUUUGUAAGUCCCAAUGACUUUCAAAAUUCCAUAUAUUGAGAAAAGACUAGUUUGAACUUACUACUCAUCUAAAAUUAAUGUGACCAAAGAAAAUGUUAACACUAUGCUAACCACCAAUUAAGUCACAUUCGAGAAAAAGAUCAUUUCUAACAAAACUUAACAAUUUAAAUGCUUGAGUAAUAAAAUUCACAUUUUUCCCGUAAUCGACAAAGUUCAAUUCUAAUCUUUAUUCUCUAGAGUAAUAUGUCAUACAUAAGGUCUUCUAUUAGGUGGUUGGUGCUCUCUAAAGUAUCAUAUUCUUCUAGUACAUUUAAAAUCUUAUCAUGCCAAAUGUUAUCGCAUUUAGCUUAUCACCUUUAUUAAGGUUAAUAAUAUAGAUUUUGAUGUCAUGAUCUAUCAGAUUUUUAGAGAUGUUUUAUUCUCAAUCAAUGCCCAUUUAUGCACAUAUUUAAUUUUGCAUUAACGCAAAUUAACGUAUAUGAUAAUUCAACGUUAGGCAUAGAGUCGAAAGUUCAAUAUGUUCCUAAUCAUCGUAUGCAAUUCUAUUGUUUCACUAUCAUAAACUUAAUUUCAUAAUACAAAAUUUCACGAGUUUUAAGUGAGAAUUGCAUUAAUUCUUUCACUUCAAAACUCCCACUCAGUUGGUGAAUCAAAUAGUCUUAGUGAGAUUUUUUCUAAAUCUUCCAAUCAUCGAACUAUCACUCAACUGACGAUCAAUAAGUCUAAGUAAGAAUCUCACUAAUUCUACUGACCUUAGCAUUUAUUACAAUAUACGAGUCAAUGGACGUCAUGUAUUUCCAUAAAUAUACACAUUUAUCCAAUAAUGUAAUUUCAUAAUGCAACAUAUAUCAUGAUUGUCAAUCACGCUUUAAUAUCUGUUGCAACACAAUCCCAACAAAUGGAAAGUGACAUUGAAAUUUUCAUAUUCUGUUUAUCACUAAAAAAUGUCCUCAAAAAUAUUCACGUAUUCCACUAGAUUAUGUUUUAGGUCCAUUUAUUUUUAAUUAUAGUAAGCAUGUAACUUUUUAACAAGUUUCAUAAUCCUAUUUCUCUAGCAUUCCCUCCAAGGAUGCUAUAUGUGUGCAUAGAUCCAAUAAUAUAUAAUUAAAAACAAAAUUUGAAACAAGUCAUAGUGGAUCACAUUAUCUAAUCAAGAACCACCCAACUCAUGAACGUAUAUAAAAUGUGGUGUUUCAAAUAUUUUCAAAAUAUUUUUCAUUUCAAAUAAAAUGAAACACUUAAAAAAAAAAAUCACACUAGGCAAAUACCACUUAACAAAUAUUCUUAAUCUUUAUACAAAAAAUCAAGAACUUAAUUGAGUCCAAAAUUUUUUUUUUGGUUAUCUAAAAAUUAAUUUUAAUUGCACACAAAAAUCAAGAACAUUUGAAGGAUCAAUUUGUUUUCAGAAUUGAAGUCGGGUCUCGCAUGCAUCCUCAUAUGCAUGACCAAUUUAUAAUCUUUUAAAUUGAAUUUCGAAUAAUCAACUUCCGAAAGAAAAUAAUUUUUGGGACCAAUAUACAACUUUUCAAAUUGGUAUUGGAAUAAAAACAUCCAAAAAUAGUUUUGGGACCAACAUGCAAUUUUUCAAAUUUCAUUUGAAAACAUUCAAAAGUGUGUGGACUAGCAUGCAAUUUCUCAAAUUGCAUUUGGAAUAAUUAACAUUCAAAAGUGUGGGGGACUAACAUGCAAUUUUCCUAAUUGCAUUUGGAAAUAUUUAAAAGUCUGGAGACGAACAUGAAAUUUCUCAAAUUGCAUCUACAAUAAUUGAGGGACAAACAUGCAAUUUUCAAAAUUUGAAUCCCACUCUACUGUAGCAGUUUCCUUUUUUUCCCCUCCAGUUACUGUUCAUCAUCUUCAGGAAAAAAAAAGAAUUUUCAGAUUUCUACCAAAAUUUCAGAGGGCCAUAAUUCUUCAAUUCAAGGCCAAAUUUUAUGUUCUUUAUAUCGUUGAAAAGGUCUCAAGAAGAUCUUCCAGUAUAUAAAAUGGGCAACAUGGAACUUAACGUACAAGAAAAUAUCAUGCGAUGAAGUUUUGAUUUUUUCAAAUAAGGUUCGAUUUUCCUCCCAAAAUACAAAGCCAAAUAAUAUGAAACUUUUUAGAUAUGUUCUCCACAAUAUCAUGAACAUACAGUAUAAAUUUUAUGAAUUAAUAUGAAGUACAUGAAAAGAUGCCAUUAACGAUAUUCAAGCUUCAAAAGAAAAUCGAAAUUCAUGCAUUUUAAUCAUUCUAGGACAUGUUCAGCAUGUGUUUAAGCAUUAAAGCAACCUACUUAGGCUCUGAUAUCAAUAUAAAACGUGCUUGCAUGCUUAUAAUCGAGUUCUAAGUAAUGAUACUUAUUUGAAAUCGCAAAAGCGAUGUUGAAUUACUUUGCUUUCAAAUCUCCAAAAUCUGCAUUUUUCUUGUACUCCAAUGGUCCCAAUCCUGAUCACAAUGAAAGGGAAUUAUUAUCUACAAUCUAAGUGCCAUUUUUUAUGAGAUUUCAUGCCAAAAUGUGGUUCUUGGGGCUUUCUAAUUUUGGUGUGAAUUUACAUCCGAAUUUUCUCACUAUUUUUUUAUGCCAUCAUUUUUAUCUCUCUUCCAUAACUACAUCAAUGGAAGUUAUGUAGGAGUUAAAAAGAAGGUUAUGAGAAUUCAAACCACUCCCUCCAACCAUUUUACUUAUGGGUCGGGUCAUUCAACUGCUAAGGGAUAUAAUCCCACAUCAAAUAAAGAUGAAAAUAUAGACCAUCUUAUAAGGUCUUAGGUUACUCCUCUUAACAACGUUGACCUUAUUAAGAUGGACACCAAGCCUUAACAUGGUAUCAGAGCCACCCCGUGAAUUUCAAGAUUGGUCUACUAAAAUGAGCCACUAUUUUGAGGGAGCAUGUUAAGGAAUGUAUUAUCCCACAUCGAUUUAAUAUCGAAAUAAAUACAAGUUUAUAAAGAUCUCGAGAUUCUCUAUUUAAUAAGUUUGACCUUAUUAAGAUGGACCCCGAGUUUUAAUAUGGUAUCAGAGCCAAUUAAACUCUAACGAUUGAUUCGAUCCGAUUAAAACUCAAAAAAUGAGCAUACGAAUUUUCAAGAUUGGUCUGCUCAAACGAGACACAAUCUUGUGGGGGCAUGUUAAGGGAUAUAAUCCCACAUCGAAUAAAGAUGAAAAUAUAGACCAAUUUAUAAGGUUUUGGGCUACUCCUCUUAAUAAGGUUGACCUUGUUAAGAUGGACCCCAAGUCUUAACACCCACACGGGCGACCCACGACCCGUAUUUUCUGACAAUACCUAACAAGGGAACAUAUCUUGGAAAUGGUGAGAAUACCAACAAGAAAAUAUCAGAUGCUUUAAUAGGUAUUUGUCCAACUCGCCAAGCUCAAAUUGAUUAAGACAUGAUGGACUUGGACAAGACAGAGAAGAAGGGUGAACUUGGGGUGAAUGCAAUUGUAGCAAUCUCAAUUGCCACUUGCAAAGCGGGAGAAGCUGAAAACGUUCCACUCUACAAGCACAUUGCUGACCUAGAAGGCAAACCAAUUUUAAUUUUCCUGUCCCUUCUUUCACUCUCAUCAAUGGUGGAAAAUGUGCUGGCAACAGUCUGGGAAUUCAGGAAAUUAUGAUUCUCCCUGUUCGAGCCAGAAUAUUUGAGGAGGCAUUGCAAAUUGGUGCUAAAACUUAUCACCAAUUUAAAGGCUGUAAUUACAGGAAAAUAUGGUGCACAUGGAUGUAAUGUUGGGGAAGAUGGUGGUUAUGCUCCAAAUAUUUGCAGCGUCAAAGAAGGCUUGGAUCUUGUAAAGGAGGCCAUUGGCAGAAUAGGCUCUAAUGACAAAAUAAAGAUAGCAAUUAAUGUUGCUGCUACUAAGUUUUGCAUAGUUCUCAAAUGGUGCAACCCAGGCCUGCCUUUUGGCUAUAAUUACAAAACUAUUGCUAGUUGGACUUCCACGUUGAGAACAAGGUGAAAUUUGAGGGUGGAGUAUCGAUAGGCCACCAUCCAGUUGAAAUACACCAGACGCAAGAAAACAAGAAGGGCAGAAGAGGAAAACAACCUGCCAAGCCACAGCUAUAAAUGGAAGCAGAAUAGGGGGAUGAGGCAUGCAGAAAAUUAGAAGGAACUAGUGGAGACAAUUGGCCUCUCGAAUGCCAAAUACUUUUAUUUUCUUUUCAUUAUUGCUAUUAGCACAAUUACAUUGAUUUACAGAUUGUGUUUACUGUUUCCAUUUACUCAUUACAUAAAUAUUUGUUCUCACUCUUCAAUUCAAUAUAGAGUUAUACUUUACAAUCAACAUCUCCAGCCCAUACCCUUCCAUUACAAGAGUGUUGCCUAACAAUUCUACUGAUCAACAGCAGCAGCAGCAACCAAAUCCAGCAGAAGCUCUACAGCAACAUCAGAACUUCAGCAGCUCCACCGGAUCAGCAGCAACAGGAACUUCAGAAACAAUAGCAGGAUCUUAACAUAAAGCUCUAACCAAAUAAAUAUAAGCUAAGAUUUGUAAUGCUAUUUAAAUAUAUGAAAUGUUGAUUGACAUGCCUUCGUAAGAGGUGUGGUUUAGCCUCCUCUUGCUCUGGCACUUGUUGUGGAGUUUCUUCCCUUUUAGCCAACAGAUUCUCCGCCUAUAACAGUUUCAUAGAGAGGCAGUUAAUAUCUCGCUCAAUUUGAAAGUAUACAUAUAAUCAUUUCAUGUUAAUCUGAAAACAAUGUACCAAGUUCCUAAAUUGGAGAUUGUAAAAGGUCUGAAUGUAUCUCUUCUUUGCUUCCUUCUUAUGCAACUGUCUCCAGAAGCUGUAUAUGCACCCCAUAUUCAAAACCUUAUUUGCAUAGAUCUUCCACGUAUAGCUGAAAUACAAUUGGAUACAGAUUUAAAAAUGUCCAUGUUAAUUCAUAGAAAAGAUACGAGUCAUCUGACUAUUUGAAGUUACCAUUCAUUUAUACGCUUUAGUCCCUGGUAAGAAAUUCUAUUCCAAUAUUCAGGAUCCUCCUUGCACUUCUGGAAAAAUUUAGCAAUCUUGUUGCUUGACUCGUCUCCAUUGUAGGGAUUGAUAUGAAAACCCGAAACCCCAUCAAUGAUAAUCUCAGCCGGGCCUCCUUGAUUAGUUGCAAAAGUUGGUAACCCACAAUUCAUUGCCUCAAUUACUGUAAGACCAAAUGCUUCAUAUAAAGCAGGCUGCACAAAUGCUCCCUUUGUAUCAGCAAUGGAACGGUAGAGUUCACCAUUUCUUUUCCUGUCAGUUUGGGCCGCUAUCCAUCUUAUCUGUCCCUUGAGUUUAUAUUUUUCAAUUAAAGUGUGCAUCUUUCUUAUUUCCGAUGAUUCUUCUCUGUCUUUGGAUUUUGAGGGAUCAAAGAAAGCACCAACAAUAACAAGAUUAACCAAGUUUCUGAGGCCCUUGUUCUUCCCGUACCACUCUGUUAGCCCUGUAAUGUUCUUCACUAUAUCAAGCCUUGCCAUGGAGAAAAUUAUUGGUUUGCUUCUGUCUUCUAGAUAUCCACUGUUCGUGGUAAAAAUCCCAAAUCAAUACUGAAUUAUUUCAGCAAAUGUGCGCUUAAAUUUAAAUAUUUGUUCACUUACAUGUGCUCGUCAUUAUCAACUUUGCUAAAAAGAAGUUCUUCUAUGGCUCGCUGAAAUUCCGUAAAUCGCUUUUGCUUUUCAGUGGGAAGGAAGUAGACGGUUUGGUCUGCCCCGGGAGAAGCAAUGUUGAAUU